UUAGCAGGUGACGAUAAAACAGACAGGGACAUCAGAUUUAGAAUGUGAUGAUUUUUGUCUUUGGGAAUCUCUCUGAUGCUAC